GGUGAACCUGCGGAAGGAUCAUUACAGAGUUCAUGCCCUCACGGGUAGACCUCCCACCCUGGGUGCGUUCAUUCGCACCCUUGGUACUUCGGCGAGCCGCCGGGGGUCUUCGGGCCCCUGGCCCCAGGCUCUCGGGCCUGGGAGCCGCUCGCGGAAGGAAAAGCCAAACCCUGAAAUUCAAGCAGUCUGAGUAAAAAAACAUAAUAGUUAAAACUUUCAACAACGGAUCUCUUGGCUCUGGCAUCGAUGAAGAACGCAGCGAAAUGCGAUAAGUAAUGUGAAUUGCAGAAUUCAGUGAAUCAUCGAAUCUUUGAACGCACAUUGCGCCCCCUGGUAUUCCGGGGGGCAUGCCUGUUCGAGCGUCAUUUCAACCCUCAAGCUCAGCUUGGUAUUGGGCCUCGCCGGUCACACGGCGGGCCUCAAAAUCAGUGGCGGUGCCGCUGGGUCCUGAACGUAGUAAUAUCUUUCGUUACAGGCGCCCCGCGUGCCCCGCCGUAAAGCCCCCAAUUUUCUAUGGUUGACCUCGGAUCAGGUAGGGAUACCCGCUGAACUUAAGCAUAUCAAUAAGCGGAGGAA
rnacentral:sRNA from 1 species